rnacentral:circRNA from 1 species
UGAGGCUGCCGGGUCUCCUGUUCCAACUCCACCUAGGUAAGAGGAGUGGCCCUUCUCCCCCAGGGGCCAGCAUUUGAGGCUCCCUCCUAACUCUUGCUCCUGGUCUCAGUCUGUCUCCUCUCUUUAUAUCUGGCUCUAUUCUCUGUCUUUGGGGUUUUGGAGAGAGGUCCUCAGCGGGGGAGGGAGGGAGUUGGGGAAAGAGACUGCUUGCAGGGGAUCUCUGGUGGGGUCAGUCUCUGAAGUCCUCCUCUCCAGAAGCCCUGCCCAAGAAGAGCCAACAGACUUCCUGAGCCGCCUUCGAAGAUGUCUUCCCUGCUCCCUGGGGCGAGGAGCAGCCCCCUCUGAGUCCCCUCGGCCUUGCUCUCUGCCCAUCCGCCCCUGCUAUGGUUUAGAGCCUGGCCCAGCUACUCCAGACUUCUAUGCUUUGGUGGCCCAGCGGCUGGAACAGCUGGUCCAAGAGCAGCUGAAAUCUCCGCCCAGCCCAGGUGAGGCACAGAGGAGCCCCAGAGAAGGAUGGCGGUGGGAGGAUAGUCAGGGUUCUGCCCCCAGCCAAAUUCUCUUCUGCCUCCAGAAUUACAGGGUCCCCCAUCGACAGAGAAGGAAGCCAUACUGCGGAGGCUGGUGGCCCUGCUGGAGGAGGAGGCAGAAGUCAUUAACCAGAAGGUGAUGGGCAUCUGUCCCACUCCUUGGCAAGGACAGGAGUUGCGGAAUGGUGGGGCACUGGGAUCAGAAGCUGGAUCUGUAUUUUCUUUGGAUGGUCAGGUGGAAAGAGGCUGGGACAAGGUUUCAAUGAAGGGU